rnacentral:siRNA from 1 species
CAGGGUGAGCGGUCGGUUCGGGA